GGCAGCCAAAGCCAUUUUAGGAUGGUGAGAGACAUGCCGCCAGCACAUUGGAAAUGCGUCUCUGGUGGACAGGAAACAUUAUGAGUCACACUCGAAGUUCUCUGUUGUUCGGAAGGGGUGAAACCACUUUGACUUCAGGAGGACUGAAGGUGUUAGGAGCUGCUUGGCAUUUUGACUGUGUUUUCUGAGACGAAUAUGUAUGUACGACUGCCUGGGGAGAAACCACACACAACAGAGCCUGAAGCGACUAAAGACUAACACCAGGUCAGUCAGGAAGCUCUGGAAGUUUGAUGGAAACUCAUGCAAUAUGAGAAAGACUUGACCAGCUAUGGCUAACUUUGAAAGUGGAAGGCGUCCAGGAGCCAAGGAAUAUGGGCAGCCUUAGAAGCUGAAAAGGGAGCCUAAAGAAGAUGAAAUCAAUUGGCACGGAUUCUGCAACUAAAUGAUGCUUUCGCAGGGGUAAAGCUUUUUGGAACUGCACUGCUUACUAAGAGCGUGAAAUGCCACAGGAGUGGCUGAAACAUUGGUGGAAGUCAGCCAUUCUGCCACGCUUCCUCUAUACUUUGCCACCGUCAGGGGAUCACUGGAGAGGAUGGGGGUCAUUGAGUGCACGUGAGGUCCCAUUUGCUGCCCCUCGCUGGUGAGCAUGCAUCAUCUGCCCAGAGGAAGGACAACGCUGUCUAUGGAUUUGCAGUAUCUUGGCCCUGCAAUUCCUAACUGCCUGUUCAGCUCCGCAAUAUCGUUUAGCAGAUUUAAAAUCUACAUUGUCCACAUGGUUCUCAACAUGAGCAUCACUUGGCCUUACCUAGGUGAGUUUUAGAGGAAGUGAUCACUUUAUUUCUUUAAAAUCUCU
rnacentral:lncRNA from 1 species